UACGUAGGGUGCAAGCGUUAAUCGGAAUUACUGGGCGUAAAGCGUGCGCAGGCGGUUCUAUAAGACAGAUGUGAAAUCCCCGGGCUCAACCUGGGAACUGCAUUUGUGACUGUAGAGCUGGAGUGCGGCAGAGGGGGAUGGAAUUCCGCGUGUAGCAGUGAAAUGCGUAGAUAUCAAGAGGAACACCUGAGGUGAAGACGGGUUGCUGGGCCGACACUGACGCUGAUGCGCGAAAGCCAGGGGAGCAAACGGG
rnacentral:rRNA from 1 species